rnacentral:rRNA from 1 species
AACGAACGCUGGCGGCAGGCCUAACACAUGCAAGUCGAGCGGACCUUUCGGGGUCAGCGGCGGACGGGUGCGUAACGCGUGGGAAUAUGCCCUUCUCUACGGAAUAGUCCUGGGAAACUGGGGGUAAUACCGUAUACGCCCUUUGGGGGAAAGAUUUAUCGGGGAAGGAUUAGCCCGCGUUGGAUUAGGUAGUUGGUGGGGUAAUGGCCUACCAAGCCGACGAUCCAUAGCUGGUUUGAGAGGAUGAUCAGCCACACUGGGACUGAGACACGGCCCAGACUCCUACGGGAGGCAGCAGUGGGGAAUCUUAGACAAUGGGGGCAACCCUGAUCUAGCCAUGCCGCGUGAGUGAUGAAGGCCUUAGGGUUGUAAAGCUCUUUCAGCUGGGAAGAUAAUGACGGUACCAGCAGAAGAAGCCCCGGCUAACUCCGUG